rnacentral:rRNA from 1 species
GAUGAACGCUGGCGGCGUGCCUAAUACAUGCAAGUCGAACGCUUUGUGGUUCAACUGAUUUGAAGAGCUUGCUCAGAUAUGACGAUGGACAUUGCAAAGAGUGGCGAACGGGUGAGUAACACGUGGGAAACCUACCUCUUAGCAGGGGAUAACAUUUGGAAACAGAUGCUAAUACCGUAUAACAAUGACAACCGCAUGGUUGUUAUUUCAAAGAUGGUUCUGCUAUCACUAAGAGAUGGUCCCGCGGUGCAUUAGCUAGUUGGUAAGGUAAUGGCUUACCAAGGCGAUGAUGCAUAGCCGAGUUGAGAGACUGAUCGGCCACAAUGGGACUGAGACACGGCCCAUACUCCUACGGGAGGCAGCAGUAGGGAAUCUUCCACAAUGGGCGAAAGCCUGAUGGAGCAACGCCGCGUGUGUGAUGAAGGGUUUCGGCUCGUAAAACACUGUUGUAAGAGAAGAAUGACAUUGAGAGUAACUGUUCAAUGUGUGACGGUAUCUUACCAGAAAGGAACGGCUAAAUACGUGCCAGCAGCCGCGGUAAUACGUAUGUUCCAAGCGUUAUCCGGAUUUAUUGGGCGUAAAGCGAGCGCAGACGGUUAUUUAAGUCUGAAGUGAAAGCCCUCAGCUCAACUGAGGAAUUGCUUUGGAAACUGGAUGACUUGAGUGCAGUAGAGGAAAGUGGAACUCCAUGUGUAGCGGUGAAAUGCGUAGAUAUAUGGAAGAACACCAGUGGCGAAGGGCGGCUUUCUGGACUGUAACUGACGUUGAGGCUCGAAAGUGUGGGUAGCAAACAGGAUUAGAUACCCUGGUAGUCCACACCGUAAACGAUGAGUGCUAGGUGUUUGAGGGUUUCCGCCCUUAAGUGCCGCAGCUAACGCAUUAAGCACUCCGCCUGGGGAGUACGACCGCAAGGUUGAAACUCAAAGGAAUUGACGGGGACCCGCACAAGCGGUGGAGCAUGUGGUUUAAUUCGAAGCAACGCGAAGAACCUUACCAGGUCUUGACAUCCCUUGACAACUCCAGAGAUGGAGCGUUCCCUUCGGGGACAAGGUGACAGGUGGUGCAUGGUUGUCGUCAGCUCGUGUCGUGAGAUGUUGGGUUAAGUCCCGCAACGAGCGCAACCCUUAUUACUAGUUGCCAGCAUUCAGUUGGGCACUCUAGUGAGACUGCCGGUGACAAACCGGAGGAAGGUGGGGAUGACGUCAAAUCAUCAUGCCCCUUAUGACCUGGGCUACACACGUGCUACAAUGGCGUAUACAACGAGUUGCCAACCCGCGAGGGUGAGCUAAUCUCUUAAAGUACGUCUCAGUUCGGAUUGUAGGCUGCAACUCGCCUACAUGAAGUCGGAAUCGCUAGUAAUCGCGGAUCAGCACGCCGCGGUGAAUACGUUCCCGGGUCUUGUACACACCG